GCCUGGGUGGCUCAGUCGAUUAAGCGUCUGACUUCGGCUCAGGUGAUGAUAUCGCGGUUUGUGGGUUCGAGCCCCCUGUCAGGCU
rnacentral:tRNA from 1 species